AUGACAACAGAACCCACAACAACGACUUUCAUUACCAUCUUCCUCUGGACACUCCUCAUCACUGCUCAGGAAUCCAGUGGACAGGUUACUGUGACUCAGACUCCAGCAGUGAAAUCUGUUCUCCCUGGACAGACAGUCAUUGUGAGCUGUAAGACCAGUCCUACAGUGUACAUACAGAUUCUAGCCUGGUAUCAACAGAAAGCUGGAGAAGCUCCUAAACUCCUGAUCUAUGAUGCAACUACCCGUCAGACUGGGAUCCCAGAACGUUUCAGUGGCAGUGGAUCUGGGACUGACUUCACUCUGACCAUCACAGGAGUCCAAGCUGAAGAUGCAGCAGAUUAUUACUGUCAGAGUGCUCACUACCUCAACACUAACUGA